rnacentral:rRNA from 1 species
GAAGUUGGAGUCGCUAGUAAUCGCAGAUCAGCAACGCUGCGGUGAAUACGUUCCCGGGCCUUGUACACACCGCCCGUCACGUCAUGAAAGUCGGUAACACCCGAAGCCGGUGGCCUAACCCCUUGUGGGAGAGAGCCGUCGAAGGUGGGAUCGGCGAUUGGGACGAAGUCGUAACAAGGUAGCCGUACCGGAAGGUGCGGCUGGAUCACCUCCUUU